rnacentral:lncRNA from 1 species
UCGGCUUCCUUUGUCAUAUCGUGGGAUAACACUUUUGUCGGUGCCAUGUAAAGUUUACUGUGACAUUCUUAAUUCUAGAUUUGGAGAUUGGAUUGAAGAUUCGGGUGUAUUAGUUGAUGAACAAUGUGGAUUUCGUAGAAAGCGAAGCUGCCUCGAUCAAAUAUAUAGUCUGUACUCUAUCAUCAAUGACCGUAAAUUGUCACGUCUUUCAACCUUUGCCUGCUUUAUUGACCUGAAGAAGGCGUUCGACAAUGUGAAUCGGGACUGUUUAUGGUUUAAAUUACAAACGUUUGGUGUUAACGGAAAAAUCUUAAAUGCUGUUAAAUCUUUG